CAGCAGCCGCGGUAAUACGAAGGGGGCUAGCGUUGUUCGGAAUUACUGGGCGUAAAGCGCACGUAGGCGGAUUUGUUAGUCAGGGGUGAAAUCCCGGGGCUCAACCUCGGAACUGCCUUUGAUACUGCAAGUCUAGAGUCCGGAAGAGGUGAGUGGAAUUCCUAGUGUAGAGGUGAAAUUCGUAGAUAUCAGGAGGAACACCGGUGGCGAAGGCGGCUUCCUGGACCAAUACUGACGCUGAGGCGCGAAGGCGUGGGGAGCAAACAGGAUUAGAUACCCUGGUAGUCCACGCCCUAAACUAUGUCAACUUGGUGUUGGGGAAGCGAUUCCUCAGUACCGUAGCUAACGCGUGAAGUUGACCGCCUGGGGAGUACGGCCGCAAGGUUAAAACUCAAAGGAAUUGACGG
rnacentral:rRNA from 1 species